AAAAAAGUGUGAAAUGUGUCUUUAUUGCAUUUUCACAAAUAGAAUAAAGGUUUCACAAAUCAGAGACUGUGUUUUUAUGAAUCUUCAGGGUCUGUACAUCAAUCCAGUCCAGAUUUGAGAGGUCUAGGUGCAGUGGUUUUGGAUCUGGACCUGGUCUAAUGCGGUCUUGGUGUAAAACAAAAACGGUGAAAUCUCCCCUUUAGCAUUUUCACAAAUAAAAUAA